CAACUUUUGACAAUGGAUCUCUUGGUUCUCGCAACGAUGAAGAACGCAGCAAAAUGCGAUAAGUAGUGUGAAUUGCAGAAUACGUGAAUCAUCGAAUCUUCGAACGCAUAUUGCAC
rnacentral:rRNA from 4 species